CACGUAGUUAGCCGGCGCUUCUUUACCCACUACCCUCACCACAACCACAGUUGCGGCUUGACCAUGAGCGAAAGAGGUUUACAACCCGAAGGCCGUCAUCCCUCACGCGGCGUCGCUGCAUCAGGCUUUCGCCCCAUUGUGCAAUAUUCCCCACUGCUGCCUCCCGUAGGAGUCUGGGCCGUAUCUCAGUCCCAAUGUGACCGGUCACCCUCUCAGGCCGGCUACCCGUCAAAGCCUUGGUAGGCCAUCACCCCACCAACAAGCUGAUAGGCCGCGAGCCCCAUCCCCCGACCAGAAAAAACCCUUUCCACCAACCCCCCAUGCGAAGGCCAGUGAAUAUCCAGUAUUAGCACCCGUUUCCGGGCGUUAUCCCAAGAAGGGGCAGGUUACUCACGUGUUACUCACCCGUUCGCCACUCAUCCACCCAGCAAGCUGGGCUUCAGCGUUCGACUUGCAUGUGUUAAGCACGCCGCCAGCGUGUCCUCGUGCCACGGACGUCAAACGUACCUACUCGUACGACUGGUACC
rnacentral:rRNA from 1 species